UCCCUGGUGGUCCAGUAGCUAAGACUCUGCACUCCCAAUGCAGGGGGCCUGGGAUCAAUUCCUGGUCAAGGAA
rnacentral:tRNA from 1 species